UGAGUAUUAGUCUAAUCAAGACAGUUAAUUUCGACUUAACAAAUUUGGCCCACAAACCAAAUACUCAU
rnacentral:tRNA from 1 species